AUGUUUAGUAGAAAGCACGCCUCUCAUUUCAAUUCGGAUGACGCUGAGCAGCGGCAAGCAAAGCCUGAUGUUUCUGUCGAAGCAGAAAUGGGUAAAAUGUACAGGGCAACUUUCACCGACAAAGAGGGGAGAACUGUCGUUAUUAUGAGACCUGCAAAGCAGAAUACAUCGUCUCAUGAAGGGCAGUUGCGGCAUCUCAUAUAUACCAUGGAGAAUGCAGUUCUUAGCCUGCCUCAGGGUCUAGACAAAAUGGUGUGGUUGGUAGACUACACAGGAUGGACACUGGCCAAUGCAACCCCCAUAAAGACUGCCCGAGACAGUACGAAUAUCCUGCAAAAUCAUUACCCUGAGAGGCUUUCAGUUGCAUUUUUGUUCAACCCCCCCAAAGUAUUUGAGUCUUUUUUUAAGGUUAUCAAAGUGUUCCUCGACUCGAAAUCAAUCCAGAAAGUCAACUUUGUGUACAAGGACAACGAGGAAAGCUUGAAGACAAUGUACAAGCACAUUGAUCCAGAAAUCCUCCCGGCAGAGUUCGGAGGGAAGAACAAUGUGGUGUACAACCAAGAGGAAUACACAAAGUUGAUGACAAAAGAUGACAUGAAAACAGCAAGCUUUUGGGCAGCAGAUUGUUAG
rnacentral:rRNA from 1 species